UUAUUAUCUAGAUGAGAAUUUUCUUUGAAUUUGGUUUUUUGGUGCAGAACCCAAAAAUGAUGAGCAAGACGGAAAGACCCCGAGAGCUUGAAUUUAUUUUUUACCUGGGGAGGGGGUAUAUGUUUCAUGUAUUUUUUGAUCCUCUGCGGAUUGUAGGGAUAAGUUACCUCGGGGAUAACUAGGUAAGAAGCAAGGAGAGGUCAUAUUGAUUUGCUUGGUUGCCAUCUCGAUGUUGGCUUGGGGAAGCAGGGAGGCGCAGCAGCUUCUUUGUGGGGUCUGUUCGACCAUAGUUCCUCAUGAGCUG
rnacentral:rRNA from 1 species